AUUGAACGCUGGCGGCAGGCCUAACACAUGCAAGUCGAACGAGUGGCGGACGGGUGAGUAAUGUCUGGGAAACUGCCCGAUGGAGGGGGAUAACUACUGGAAACGGUAGCUAAUACCGCAUACCAUCGGAUGUGCCCAGGUGGGAUUAGCUAGUUGGUGGGGUAACGGCUCACCUAGGCGACGACCCCUAGCUGGUCUGAGAGGAUGACCAGCAACACUGGAACGGAGACACGGCCCAGACGCCUACGGGGGGCAGCAGUGGGGAAUAUUGCACAAUGGGCGAAAGCCUGAUGAAGCCAUGCGGCGUAGAUGAAGAAGGCCUUCGGGUUGUAAAGUACGUUCAGCGAGGAGGCGUUACUCGCAGAAGAAGCACCGGCUAACUCCGUGCCAGCAGCCGCGGUAAUUC
rnacentral:rRNA from 1 species